rnacentral:ncRNA from 2 species
UAUUGCUGGACCCGUGACGGUUUCCCGACCCCGUGAAGGGGGAAGGAAGCAAUAGGGAACACGGUGCGGCGUACCCAUCAGGGACCAAAUCCGUGGCUGCCCCCGCAACUGUAGGCGGUGGGCGCCCCCAUCAAGGCCACUGGCCGCCCUUUUGGGGCCGGCCGGGAAGGCGGGGGCGCUGCAUUCACCGUGAGCCAGGAGACCUGCCGGCACCCCGGGAUCAUU